ensembl:snoRNA
AAUCUGUGAUGAUCCUAUCCCGAACCUGAAUUUCUGUUGAAAAAGCAAUACGGAUCUGGCUUCUGAGAU